AGUAAGAAGUAAUGCACCAACAUAUGUCCCGCAUAUUCCAUAAAACAUGCUUUUGUUGCACUUCGGUUAUUAGAGAUUUUGGAUCGAUAGCCAUGCUAGUCGCUCCUAAAACAAACUUAUUUCUCUUUCAGUUAUAUAAAGCGACAAAAGGCAGCGCUACGCGGCGCUACGAUACACAGUUGUGACGAUUAGAGGUUAUGUAUAUAGUUUGUUUUCUGACGUUUGUAAUAUCCCAUCACUAGCAGGUGGGACGCGGUCUUGUUGUUAUAUUUUUAUAUUAAUAAUUAUUUUCUAGAUAUUUAAAAGCAUUCUUGUUUAUUAUUGGCUUUACUAUUUUUGAAGGCAGGUUGGUUUGAAUCAUGCCACUAAGUAACAGAAGGUGGCAAUUGAACUUUUGGAUACUAUCGUGCGAUAGCCAACACCAGGAUGGUGUUAACCUGAAAGUUUAAUGAUUAUGACAAAAAAAAUUAAUUUAUCGAUAAUUAUUUUAUAAAACAACUACAUAUGUACACAUAUUAAUAUGAAUAGAUCUACUCUACGGUACCUUAGAAUAUAGCAUUAAUAUAUAGAACAUAUUAAUAUUCUGUAAAACGUUAACUAACAGCUAACAAAGCUUUUCUUUGCUCAAACAUUGCUGCAGCGGCGGAGUGUCGCUAUUUUCUCUUCUAGUGCUUUAUCACUGUAGAGAUUUUCAUGACGCUAUGGCAACCAUAUAUUUUGAAACAUGUUCAAAAUGGAAUAGAUCGUUUCCUGAGCUUAUUCGUAGUAACAAUUUUUGCUCUAGCUGCACAGUUCCAUAAAAACAUUCGAUUAUUCUGUUCAGAACAAUAUGGUCAAGCUCCAGACGAACUAAUGAAGUGGACGAUGAUUGAGGAGAUACUUUUCGAUCCAAUACAUCUAAAUUAUAUCAUUAUUUCAUCACUUUCAGAUAACAAAAUGUUCCAUUUAAUCUAGUUAAGAAAACAUUUUCAAAAAUUUUAAUGUUUUAGAUUAAUUCAUAGUUUAUUAGAAUAGUUUUAUUUUAUGGUUGAUAAGAUGCAAAAUUAUAUCGAUUUAUCAUUGAUAUUUAUUUUUAUACUUUUCUAAUUUUUAUUUUCAGCCGCCAUUAUGUUUAAACUUGAACGCAUUGCUAAUAGUAACAAUGUAUUGUCAUUCAUAAGCUGGCUUUCCAUUGGUCAAAAUUUUUCAUUCUGUAAAGAGACAAAAGCUCAAAUUUUAAAGUUUGUAUUUUUCGUCCCGUUUCCAUUAUCAUAGACUGCAAAAAUGAUGUCAUUUUCCGGUUCCAUCAAAAAUUCAUCGUUCUUUGUCACAUUUGAGAAUCAGGCCUUCGGAUAUAUAAGUUUCCGGAAACCUUAUUGCAGAAGCAUAAUUUACAUAAAAGAUUUUGACAAGUUACUUAAUUUCUCUAAGAGAAAAACUGAUGCUCUCUCAAAAGAUAUGAAAUAUCAUUAGAUUGUAUGACAAUAUUGCCAUACUUACAUCUUAAAUAUAAAUAGUUUCCGAUUUAUUUUUGUUGAAAUUAUUUGAUUUUUAUCAUUUGUAUUUGAAUGCCUUGCUUUAUAACCUGCUUUUCUUUAAGAAACUAAUACUUUGCACAACUAAUAAAGCAAACAAUUGGCUAGUUUUCCAGACAACAAUAAUACGACAUUUUUGAAAUUAUAAACGUUUAAAUCUGCAUUUCUUACAAAAUCAUAAAAGGACUAGGAAUAUCAUAUUGAAACAUGUUCUCAAGCAAAUAACGGAGAAUACCUUUCAUGGAAAAACUGCCUAAUGAUUGAAAAGUUGGAGGACUACAGAUCAGAAAAACACAUUUUUCGCUCUCAUUUUUUCAAAACUACUGUGAAAUGCAAUACAUCAGUUAUGCUUAUCAGUGUUAGUCUUAUAGUUACAUGGUUUAGUUGGAUUAUUGUCAAACUUCUGCAUUGAACAUAUCUUUGACGGAAGCAUUUUGAAUAAUUAACAUUUCAGAGUGUAUUGCUUGACCUAUAUAUUCUUUCAUUUGCAUAUAAGGUAAUUCAAAUUUCAUGUUAGUGGUCAUAGUAAUGCUCCCCACAUAAUUAUAUCGUGUUGAUCAAUAUUCUGAGUAAGAGAAAAAUUGAUAAAAUGAUUAGGCCAGUAGUAGUAAGAUAUCGUUCUAACAGCGCAAAAGAAGCAGUAGCAGUGAGGUAAGGAAAGUGACGUUUUGGAGGUGGGCAGGAAAGUGUGCUCCACAAGGGUUAUGACGUCACGCAUCGAACGGAAGUAUGGAUGUACUAGAACAGGGGUCGGCAACCUGCGGCUCAGUAGAAUCAUACUUGUGGCUCUUGAGUAGUUUAAU
rnacentral:lncRNA from 1 species